CGCGUAGGUGGUCUGUCAAGUCAGGGGUGAAAUCCUUCGGCUUAACCGGAGAAUAGCCCCUGAUACUGAUGAGCUAGAGGAGGAUAGAGGCAGCCGGAACUACCGGUGGAGCGGUGAAAUGUGUUGAUAUCGGUAGGAACGCCAGAGGCGCAAGCGGGCUGCUGGAUCCUUUCUGACACUGAUGCGCGAAAGCUAGGGUAGCGAACG
rnacentral:rRNA from 1 species